rnacentral:rRNA from 1 species
UACGGAGGGUGCAAACGUUGCUCGGAAUCACUGGGCGUAAAGCGCGCGUAGGCGGUUCGUUAAGUGGGAUGUGAAAUCCCCGGGCUUAACCUGGGAAUUGCAUUUCAAACUGGCCGACUAGAGUACGGUAGAGGGAGGUAGAAUUUCCUGUGUAGCGGUGAAAUGCGUAGAUAUAGGAAGGAAUACCAGUGGCGAAGGCGGCCUCCUGGAUCGAUACUGACGCUGAGGCGCGAAAGCGUGGGGAGCAAACAGG